rnacentral:rRNA from 1 species
AUGGCUCAGGACGAACGCUGGCGGCGUGCCUAAUACAUGCAAGUCGAACGGUCUUUCUAUGGAAGCUUGCUUCCACUGAAAAGAUAGUGGCGAACGGGUGAGUAACACGUGGGUAACCUGCCCAUAAGAGGGGGAUAACAUCCGGAAACGGGUGCUAAUACCGCAUAGUUUUCUUGAUCGCAUGAUCGGGAAAGGAAAGACGGCCUUUGUGCUGUCGCUUAUGGAUGGACCCGCGGCGUAUUAGUUAGUUGGUGAGGUAACGGCUCACCAAGACGAUGAUACGUAGCCGACCUGAGAGGGUGAUCGGCCACAUUGGGACUGAGACACGGCCCAGACUCCUACGGGAGGCAGCAGUGGGGAAUAUUGCACAAUGGGGGAAACCCUGAUGCAAGCAACGCCGCGUGAGUGAUGACGGCCUUCGGGUUGUAAAGCUCUGUCUUCAGGGACGAUAAUGACGGUACCUGAGGAGGAAGCCACGGCUAACUACGUGCCAGCCGCUGC